UGGUCAUGCUGUGAGGAGGAAGGGAUGGGAAGCAGAGAGCUAGAAAUGCAGAGGGGAGAAGGAAAGAAAGAGCCAGAGCUGUGUGGAGUGACUCAUGGAACUGCAGCAUAGCAAAAGAACACCUUCACUAGACCAGGUUGCUCCAUGCCCCAUCCGUCCUGGCCUUGAACACUCCCUGGGAUGAUGUAUCCCCAGCUUCUCUGGGCAGCCUGUUCCAGUCACUCAGCACUCUACAGGUGAACAAUCCCAAUUCUCUCCGCCUUUCCUCAUAACAGAGCUGCUCCAUCCUUCUGAUAGUCUUUCUGCUCUCUUCUGGACUCAGGUCCGUGUCCUUCCUCUGGGUUGCUGGGACCCAGAGCUGGAUGCAGCACUGCAGGUGUGGUCUCACCACAGCAGAGCAGAGGGGCUGAAUCCCCUCCCACACCUGCUGCCCACGCUGCCUUUGAUGCAGCCC